rnacentral:rRNA from 1 species
GAAUCGCCCUUAGAGUUGCCUAUGGCUCAAAUUGAACGCUGGCGGCAGGCCUAAUCACAUGCAAGUCGAGCGGUAACAGGGGAAGCUUGCUUCUCGCUGACGAGCGGCGGACGGGUGAGUAAUGUAUGGGGAUCUGCCCGAUAGAGGGGGAUAACCACUGGAAACGGUGGCUAAUACCGCAUAAUCUCUUAGGAGCAAAGCAGGGGAACUUCGGUCCUUGCGCUAUCGGAUGAACCCAUAUGGGAUUAGCUAGUAGGUGGGGUAAUGGCUCACCUAGGCGACGAUCCCUAGCUUGGUCUGAGAGGAUGAUCAGCCACACUGUGACUGAGACACGGCCCAGACUCCUACGGGAGGCAGCAGUUGGGAAUAUUGCACAAUGGGCGCAAGCCUGAUGCAGCCAUGCCGCGUGUAUGAAGAAGGCCUUAGGGUUGUAAAGUACUUUCAGUCGGGAGGAAAGGCGUUUGGAUGCUAAUAUCAAUCAACGAUUGACGUUACCGACAGAAAGGAAGCACCGGCUAACUCCGUGCCAGCAGCCCAGCGGUAAUACGGAGGGUGCAAGCGUUAAUCGGAAUUACUGGGCGUAAAGCGCACGCAGGCGGUUGAUUAAAGUUGGAUGUGAAAUCCCCGGGCUUAACCUGGGAAUGGCAUCUAAGACUGGUCAAGCUAGAGUCUUGUAGAGGGGGGUAGAAUUCCAUGUGUAGCGGUGAAAUGCGUAGAGAUGUGGAGGAAUACCGGUGGCGAAGGCGGCCCUCUGGACAAAGACUGACGCUCAGGUGCGAAAGCGUGGGGAGCAAACAGGAUUAGAUACCCUGGUAGUCCACGCUGUAAUACGAUGUCGAUUUGAAGGUUGUUCCCUUGAGGAGUGGCUUUCGGAGCUAACGCGUUAAAUCGACCGCCUGGGAGACGGCCCGCAAGGUUAAACUCA